AACGACAAAAACCUGCUCAAAGAACAAGGAGCAACAACAAGAGAGAGCAACAGAGCUGGAAAUAACUAAAAAUCUAACUGAAACAAACUGUACAUAUACAAUUCCUAAAAAUCGAUACAAUUCAUAACCCAGCAGGAAAGUAAAAACAACAAUAUAUACAAAAAGUCUCUUCAAGAACUAAUAAAUAUAGGGUCCUCCUCCAAACCUGUCCACGGAUAAGAGAUAUCUAUACAACAAUUUCUUUACCUCGGUCUUAUGCAACAUGUACGAAUAUACUAGGCUCUGCAAUAAAAUAUCAACACAGCGGCGUGAAAACUACUAAAAACCAGUAGU
rnacentral:lncRNA from 1 species